CAGAGCCACACCUGCCUGCUGCCAAGCUCCCUGCCAUAAUGAUCAUGGACCAACCCUCUGAAACUUCUUGCAAUUAUUUUCAAGAAACUCAUUUUGUCUGCACACCUGGGCAGAUGCAAGUUCAGAUUCGAGUGGGCGUAGACUGCUCCAGCAACUUCUAGCAAGGUCUGUCUGCCUGCAGCCCACUACACCACAGACAAAGAGGCUUCAGCACCUGAUUGGACACAGCACCUUGAUGCUCCACCUGCUUACCUUAGCCAGCUGUGUCUGCAGCUUGUUCU